rnacentral:lncRNA from 1 species
AUGAGCCAAGUGAGAAUGUUGGAUGAAGGAACCAAAUUGAUAUUCAUCAUCCUAUUGAAAACAACUCAGAUCCACAGGUCUUCUGAUGGCAGUCUGUGGCUGAACCAUGUGAAUGAAAGUUGGGCAGGUUCAAGGAAAAGGCAGGAAGUGGGCUUUCUUUGUCACAAGGAAAAGCCAGGAGAUGUGCCCAAGGGAAUGAGGAAAGGCUGGAAGAAUCUCAUGGAGAAAAUUGGUCUGGCAGGGCACAUAGGAUUGUUGGCAACACUGGUUCCUGAGUCAAUGAGUCGACAGCAUGAUUUCAGCACUGCCUUUGUUCAAAGACAUGGACUGCAACUCAGUAGGAAUAUAGAACUACCAUGGGCCACACAUGUGCAAGACUUUCCUGCCAGUCAGGGGACCAGAGAAAUGCUGGUCUCGCAGAGCCAGCUAGCGUGUCUCUACAUGAAGAUGGCAGCGGACACCUUUUUGAGAACAAGGAAAUCCCAGCGGAAGGAAGGAUCUAUCAGUUGCUCCUGUUUCAUGCCAAGAAUUCUAAUUUAUGUGGUUGGGGUUAUAAUAACCCCCAUUUCACAGUGAUGAAGAGGGUAAGACAUUAUUCCACGGCCACAUGCAGCUGGAGGAGAGAAGGUAUAUGGAAAUAUUCCUUAUGAGUGACACAAAGUGCUAUAUGAAUUCUGAGAAAAAUAAAAUUUUCAAAAGACUUGAUCA